rnacentral:tRNA from 1 species
GCCUGAGUAGCUCAGUUGGCAGAGCAGCGGUUUUGUAAACCGCAGGCCGUCGGUUCGAGCCCGACCUCAGGCU